GCAAAUUUCUCUGUGAAAGCAGAUCGAUCGCGCGAGCAAGAUUUCGUGAUGAGAGAUCAUCCAUGGGUACCAUUCGAAAUUAAUAGUCAGUUUGGCGCGUAUCUGACCUAAAAAUUAGCGUAAAUUUCGCGAAAGCGGCUUACACGUCCCAACCAGGCGUGCUCGCUCGUCGCUCUUGAGUAGCUCGCUCAGCGUUUUCGCGACUUGAGUGGCCACACGAGCCUUUCAGACACGAACUUUCAGAGAGCAGACGAGGAGCGGGGUUGAGUUGGGAAAAAGGAAAAAAAUAGAUUCCAUGCGAAGAGAAUCAGUGGGAAAAAGUCGCUCGUAAGAGGGAUUCCUUAACCACCCUUGAUUUCCAUCCACUUCUGGCUAAUUGACUCGACUCCAGACCGCUUUCAGCCUCGAAUUACUUCGAGCAUAAAAGAAACGAGCUUUCCAAAUUUCUCAGACGCUCUUCAGUCAUAUUUUUUUUCUUUUUUUGCUUGUCGAUAGACGGAUCAAACUCGAGGACAAAGUCGGAAAUUAAAUUGUUUUCUCGUUUAAUCUCCACCAAAAGAAAAAAACAAGGGAAAACCGAUCGAGAAAUGAAAAGGGAUUUUUCAAUGGUAGAAGCCAAGUAUUUACGUGGUGAUUUUAUCAAGACUGAACAGAAAGCUUCGACUAUAGGCGCAUAGGAUAGCCGGAGCGUUGUGCAUGAACGCUUCAGCAACGAAGAAUUCGCGAAUCUGGGACAGUUUGAUCGAUAAUGGCGUAAACCUGGCCGCGGCAAUUCCAGGAAUGGCAGCCUAAUUGGAUCCUCCUUAAAUAAGUAUUUCAAUCUACCCGCAGCCCGCCGUUCUCUCAAGGCACGUCGCUCUUUUCGAGACGAACAACCGUGCGAACGUUUUUUCGAAUCCUUUCGAAAGCCAUGGAAACAAGAAGAGGAUCACAUGGAAACAAAAAUUCGAGGAUUUUCAAGAGACGAAGACAAACUUCGUACAAAAGGGUGGAUAGUGACGGUGAAGAUAAGUUAUAUUGAACUCAGUGCAGAAUGUUACUUUCACAAAACAGCGUUCAGUUCGCGGACAAAGGAAGCUAAGUUUGAGUUGUAGUUUUGAGUUAAUUUACAGG